UUAUGGUCGGUCAGCGAUGGCUGUCCACACAUAGGCACGCCUCUGGACCCACUGAAUCAGACACCCUGGGACCCGGCUCUGCGAUCUCCGUCUUCCAAGCCCUGCAGGUGAUGCUGGACCACACUUCAGUUGAGAAUGAAGGGAUGGAAAUUAUUUUAAAUUGAAAACUCCUGAACAGUCAGCAGCCGCAGAAAGAAACUACCUCCACUUAAGCAGCUGCCCCAGGAAGCAGAGCUGCUUUGACCCCUCUGGGGGCAUUUCCUGCUUGGAGGAAGACUGAACCCCCCUACACCGAGCAGUGCAGUACAGGCCGGGCAUGGUGGCUCACGCCUGUCAUCCCAGAGCUUGGGGAGGCUGACGAUCAUCUGAGGUCACUAGUUCGAGACCAGCCUGGCCAACAUGGUGAAACUCCAUCUUUACUAAAAAUACAAAAAUUAGCCGGGUGUGGUGGUGCACUCCUGUAAUCCCAGCUACUCAGGAGACUGAGGCAGGAGAAUCUCUUGAACCUGGGAGGCAGAAGUUGCAGUGAGCCGAGAUCACACCACUGCCCGUCAGCCUGGGCAACAGAGAGAGACUCCAUCUCAAAAAAAAAAUAAAACAAAACAAAACCAGUUCGGAUCAGCUGCCCAUUAGCGUCAAGACCGAAAGGACCUUCCACACUCCCCGUGAAGCCCUGAGCCCCUGUUUUUAUUGUGUUUGCUGGUAUAUAAACCCUUUCCUCAUUACUGUGUCCUCACGUGUGUGUUCAUGAGCACAGCCGAUGGACCUGCUCUCCCUCCUGUCCACCUGUCUGCUGUCCGUUCACUUGCAGACCCCAGAUAUUUCAAGCUAUGACAGUAGAGAAAAAAGUCUCCCCAACAAUAGAGAAAAAAGUUUCCCCAACAAGAACUGCUGCUGUCAGCCUGCUCCCCUGCACUAUGGUUCCCACCAGCACUCCUGUUACAAGUGACAGAUGAAAACUCACGCGGAAGACGACCUCAGAGCCAACAUUCCUGGAAGGAGGCUGCCCUGGGGGCCGUGCUGGGGGCUUCACGUGGAAUAUCUCAUCUUCCCCACACAAUGCCUUUGCAAGAUGGAAAACACUCGUCCACCCCAGCUGACCGAUGGGGACAGGUUUGGAGAAAGCAGAGCCAAGGCAAGCACUGAUGGAAACACGCGGGGAAGAGGGCAAGUGAGCUCGGCGCCGGUGGCGGGGGCACGCAGGGAAGAAGGCGAGUGAGCUCGGUGCUGGGGGGCACGCAGGGCAAACACCGGGCUAAUCGGGUGAGGGGGGCGCAGCAGACACGCUGCUGUGGGUAGGAUUUUCUUUUGGUCUCAGAUCUGAUUUUGUGAAAUGGGAACAUGAGCAGCACCUCAAGUUUCUGUGCUAAGUGAAGCAAUUCCUGCAGUGCCUGGCAUGUUGGGGGGCUCCACACCUCAGAGUCCUCCUGCUGGCCCUGAGGUCAUUUCUCUCCCCUGCUCAGGGGAGCCCGGAGGACCUUCAGUCCAGACCUGACCUGCCCCUCACCUGCUGAGUAAGUUCAGGACUUGUCCCCUGAUGAGCACAUGGGACAAUCAUCCAAGUAGAAUGAAACCAGCUGGGAGAAGCCACCACACAUCCCCUUCAGAAACAGCAACUCUCCCACGCCUGACUGACUUCCUGGUGCCUGGAACUCCUCUGAGUGGAGCAACUCUAUUGACUGAGAUUAUCUCCAUAAAGUCCAGGUGAAGGUGAAAAUAACAAUCUCACCAUUUACUGAUUGUCAAUUUCCUAUCCAAUAAGAAAAGAAUAAGACUUCAGGGAGGCAGGGCAGGCAACAGGCAUGUCUGAGUCCAUUUCUCAGCUGAAAUCUACAAGAAACUGAGGACCUCAAUCCCCCAACCCUGGAGCAAUGCAGUCCUGCCGGUAUGCUUGUAGGGGUGCUCAGAAGCAGACCCUUCCCCACCUGAGCCUUCAGAUGAGUCCUCAUCCCUGGCCAGUACCUGAGUGUGGACUUGUGAGUGAGCCAAGCCAGCCACGCCACACAAAGAUUCCUGACCCACAAAAACUGUGAGAUGAUAAAUGUGCAUUGAUUCAAGCUGCUAAGUUUGGGGGCAACUUGUUACACAGCAGGAGAUAACUACUACACCACCACCAUGAUCUGUUUUUUGGCCUUUGAACGUAUCUCAUUUAUUCUUUUUUUAAAUUCUGUUUUCCUCUCCAAGAUUGCCACCCAGUGUCUGUCCAAUUCCUCACCCACAAGUCAGUUUCCACUUUCCCUCUGAGCCCUUCUGAUUUUUUCCACUCAUGAUGGUUUUUCUCUUCCACAAGACACAGAAUUUAUUGUCUCAGCUGUGCCAUUCCAAGAUCAGGGUUUCUUUAAGCAUUCCCCCCGGCCUUGGAAUAGCACAGCUCAAAACAAGGUACAAAUGGGAUUUACUUUUUUUUUUUCUGUGCUCUUUAUGACUGUAUUACAUCCCCUUUCACUCUUUUUUCUUUCAUUUUUGAAAAUAUAAUAAUGUUAUCAACUAAAGUCACCAUGUUGUAAAAUAAUAUCUUGAAUUUAUUUCUCUUGUCCAACUGAAAUUUUGUAUCCUUUGAUCAACAUUUCCCCAACCUCCAACUCCCCCAUUGCCCAGCCCUUAGUAACCACUAUUCUUCUCUCUGCUUCAGUGAGUUCAGCUUUUGAAAAUUUUCCACAGAUGAGUGAGGUCAUGUGGUAUUUGUCUUUCUGUGCCUGGCUUAUUUCAGUUAAUAUAAUGUCUUCCAGGUUCAUCCAUGUUGUUGCAAACGACAGGAUUUUCCUCUUUUUUAAAGCUGAAUAGUAUUCUGUUGUGCAUAUGUACCCCAUUGUCUUUAUUUGUUGAUGCCUUGUUGGACACUUAGGUUGAGUCCAUAUCUUGGCUAUUGUGGAGAAUGCUGUAGUAAACAUGAGACUGCAGAGAUGUCUUUUAAUAUACUGAUUUCAAAGCCUUUAGAUAUAAACCAAGAAGUGGAAUGAAUUGAUCCAGGUGGGACUGAAUACCAGACAGACAAGUCAUCAACACUAGUAGGAUUUACAUUUCUUUAGAAGCAAAGCUGGAGAAGAUUGGAGGUUAGGCACUGGAUCAGCACUGGUUGUCCAAAUAAAGUAAGCAUGAGAGUCGGGUGAAAGGAAGGAGUAGCCACUGGGAAGGGUCCAUGAGAGGGAAGCAAGUGUGAGUGAGUGCUAUAGACUGCUGGGGGUGGGGUGGGGGUGGUGCUGACACCUGUGAUGUGUGUGUGUGUGUGUGUGUGUGUGUGUGUAUGUGUAACUUUCCCUCUAAAUCUCUAAGUUACCCAACGGCUCCCCAAGAACCUGGUAACCUAGUGGAAUACAAUGCUUUGAAAUCCACUCAGUAAAUAUUCAUUGAACCAGUGUAUGAAACUAGAAUCCCUGUUCAUCCCUUUCUUUCUUUCUUUGCAAUCUUUAAAAGCAAAAAGACAUAUAUUAUUAACAGUUCAUUUAUAGAGUCAAUUCUAUUUCUAAAGAGAUAGAGCAUAUUUUAAAUGUGUUACUUUUUUAAUGUUUAUUUCUAUGCCUAUUUAGGCUUAGUUUAUAUUCAAUUUAACAGGGAAAAACAUAAUGAAUUCAAUAGCAAUGCAAAGGUAAUAUAAAUAGUCUAAUAACAAGAUAUGAUUUUCAUUUGGCCCAUAUUAAAACUGGAUUUAGAGGAACCAUGCAAAUUCACACUUAAUAACAAAUAUAUUUAUAUGCGUCUAUUAAUUUCCCAUUCGGAAACACAAAAGCUUUCUAGAUAAGGUAUUUUACUGUCUGAUAUAAGGCAUAGUUCUAAUUAUAUAAAGGUUUAGGAAAAUCAGGCCUAGUCAAGUUAUAUCUACAUAUUCAUAUGACUUUAACUAACUUAAUUGAGUAUAAUAGACUAGAAUUGUGUAAAAAUUAAUAUUUGGAGUUUUUGUGUUGUUACUGUAAUUUUAAAAAUGCCAGGCAACUGGUUUGACUAAAAGUUCUCACUGCUUUGGUUAUAGCCAAACUAUAGGGGGGAAAUGUUCAUUUUAACUGUUAGUUGUUACAGGCUAAUGGUUCAUCAUGUCCUUAAUAGAAAUCAGACCCAGAUGUUUUAGAUAAAAGCAUACCAUUUAUUCAGACUAUAUCCACAUUAGAAGAAGAGAAAUAGCAAUUUAGUAAUAGUCAGAAUUAUUUUACCAAUGCAGGCAAUCAGUUUGGAGCAUUUGCUACCACCAGAAUCCUUAGGAGAUCAAAUCAUCAUUUCUGCGAUCAAUGCAACGAUGUUUGAUCAUCUUUAACGUCUACUAUACUCUCUGCUUGCAAUUCUUUUCCAAAUUAAUUAAUUUAGCCAAAAAUCUCAGGAAAACAAUUUAGCCUGAAUGUAAUCCUCUGUUUCCCCAUAAUGAAAAAGAUAAAUAGUCUAAAACGGAAAAAAUAAACACACAGCAAAACACGUGCUCUUAUACGUGGAAAGUUAAGCUAAGAAUGUUUGGGGGAAAUUGGCCGACCUUAAGUCUUGAAUUUUCUGGGACCUUCCCUCUAUUCUUCUCACUUUCAGCUAGCAUCUUCCAUGCCGUGGUAUACAGCAUGAUAGGGUUUGAACUACACAUGUUGCUCCUCUUACUAUAAAUGCCUAAUCCUUAGCUGAAACUAUUUGUCACAAUAAUAUCCUGUAGUGAAGACUUUUACAAGAUAAUUACAUGGUGAGUAAACAAGGCAGUGUUGUCUUUUAUCUGUUCUAAAUGGGAUGUCUUCUAAUUUUAUCACCGGCCUUUUGUUCAUAUAUUAUUGGGCAGGGUAAAUAAGAAUCACUGAACAGCCUUUCUAAAUCAUUUGUUAUUAUCCAUGCUACUAUUUCUAUAAACUAAUGAGCAAUAUUUAGUGCUUACGAUCUUCCCACUUUAUAAACAUCAGCUUUCAUUGUUUCUGCAUUAGGUGGAGGAAAUAUUGAGCCCAGCUUUCCCUUUGAAUGCUUACAAGGUUGCUUGUAAAAUAUUCUUCUGAUGACACAGACUGGAGAGAACUGUGUCUUUAACCUAUUGCUUUUAACCCAGGGAUGCUCACUGCUAGCUGAGGGUGGCCCAAAAUGGAGGCCACAAAUGAACCUCUUCUCUACUCUUCUUUCCUUUUAUCCUCUCCUUUCCUUUCUCCUUUCCCUUCCCUCCCCUCCUCCCCUACCCUCUCCUUUUUCUUUCCUUUUCUUUCCUUUUUUUAAAUUUUUUAUUUUUCUUUCUUUCCUUCCUUCCUUCCUUCCUUCCUUCCUUCCUUCCUUCCUUCUUUCCUCCCUUCUAACAUUUGUGGACACAUUACCAUGAACACAGUGGACACUGUUGUUAAUUCCAUCUUAAAAAUGAGGAAAAUGAGGUUUUAAGAAGUUAGGCAACUCAUCUGAUGUUACACAUCUGAGAGGUAAGAAAGCUGUACUGAAACCAGGAUCACCUGACCCUGCGAUACAGCCUGUCACUCAUUCACUUCAUGUCUCUCAGAGAUCUCUUCACGUGCCAGUCUCACUGCUCGGAGGAGCACAGAAGUCUCACUGGAGAAUAUCUGGGUAGUACCAGAUAGGGAACCUGUCCUCAGAAAGCCACCUUUCUCGCCCAGAUACCCCUUCGGCUACUUGAUAGAUCACCUGUCACGCCCAUCACCUGUGCCGGUGGUCAGCGUCUCCCCACACUUGCAGCUGCUCUCAGUGACCAGGGCAAAGUCUGACUUUGAAAGCUCAUUUCAGGUGCUAUGCACGUGACAGUGUACCAGCAAUGUCUGCUUGUUCCUUCUCCCAUUCCUUCAGGGGUGGUCAACCAAUUCUGAGAAGGAAGCCCUGCCCCCAUUCCUCCAUCCCCACAUCCCCGUCGUCCUCGGCUCCCAGCUCUGCCCUUCCAUUUGUGGCAUGCCGGUGGGUCGAGCAUUGUCUGCCUUCUGGGGAACACAAACCCUUCUGAGUUGUUGGCAAGUUUCUGAUGGGGUCAGCUCUGGUUCUCAUGGGCCAUUAAAGUUGGAUUGUUGAGGGCUAGAAAGGAAGAUAAAAGUGCAUGUCCUGAGUGGAGGUAUGAAGGGUGAAUGGGGACCAGACCCUGAAUGGAUGUCCUGAGCAAGCGAGGGGUCUACCAGAUGGAAGCCCAGAGGUCCGAGCUGAUGUGGAGGACGAUGGACAGGGAGGGGCAGUGCCCACUGCUUGUGCAAUGGUAAGAAAAUGUACAGAGGGAAGGACAAACCCCAGGAGCUUUGCUCAAAUACCCAGCUGCCCUGGGACUCCCAGACACGCAGGCCCAGCCUACAGUCAGGCACCCAGCCAGGUAAAGCGCCCAUCCCUGGAAGGGGGUUUUUGCCCCAUUGCUACUGGAGUUCAUCAUUGGUGGUUUAUUAUGAUGGAGCUUGGACAAACUACAAAUGGGCACUGGGUGUAUCUAAUGCUGUAUGUGAAUACCAUUCAUUUUUUAAAAGUAUAUAAUUCAAAUAAACAUUCUUUAAUAAAAAUGAAAAAAAGAAAUACUGUUAAAAGCACCAAAAUUGUGUGUUAUACUAUUGCAUGUACAAUGAGAUAAAGGUGAUAGCCCUACCUGGUGUACAAAUACUUAACUCUAAAGUCCUGAGUGUAAAAAACAAGAAAUACAAAGCCAUACAAUAACUACAAUGCAGAAAAGUUGCACUAAAGAGCAAAAGGCAACAGUGAAGACGUUUGGAGAUUUUAUAGCAUUUCUGUAAGUACUGCAAAUCCCCACACUGGCUGCCAGGACCCCUGGCCGGAUGGUGAUCAUGGUGCUGGGGUGUUGGUUAGAUUGCACCUCCAGGGUAGCAGAGGGUGUUUGCUAAUUAUUGGAGUGGAGAUGGUUACCAAGCCGCCUGUCUCUGAAAAUCUUGCAGAGAUAUUUUCUUUGUACCACAAGGCUAAAAUUAAGCAGUGCGAUGUUUUGUGAUAUAAAAGUAUGGGUUUCUCGGCCAAAGAGUUUCCCAAAACUGUCACUGCCAGACUUUCCCAGGGACCAGCACUCCAGAGGGUUAAAACAGUUUCCCAUCAGCGACUGUCUUUCAAGAGGUCAGCCGUGUGUGUGUGUGUGUGUGUGUAUGUGUGUGUGGUUGUGUGUGUUUGUACACAGAUGUGUGUGUCACAGGAGAAUUUUUUUCUAAACAAGUGAUUUGCAGUUCCUAUUCCCCUUGAGAAACUUGGCUUCCUAGCAAAUUGCAAUAUGAAAAGCUGACUAGAAUUUCUCUAAGAUAAGUUUAGCUCAUUAAAUGAUUAUCUUGUUGUAACUAAAACCCAGACACUGUGUUAAAUAUUGCAGAUUUAUGUAGAGAAAGACAGGAUACCCGCCAUGAACUGAGGGUUUAUGUUCCUUCAUAAUGCCUGUGUUGAAACCCUCAUUUCCAGUGCGAUGGUAUUUGGAGAUGGGGUCUUUUGGCGGUGAUUUUUUUAUGAGGGUGAAGCUCUUAUGAAUGGGGUGAGUGUUCUUUCCUUCUCUCUCUGUGCUCUCUGACAUCAUGUGAGGUCACAGCAGGAAGACGACCGUCUGCAAAUCAAGACUCCAGUCCUCCCUGAUGCCGAAACUGCAGCUGGCACCUUAAUCUUGGACUUCCAGCCCGCAGAACUGUGAGAAAUCAGCAUCUGCUGUUUAAGCCGCCAGUCUGUGAGAUUUUGCUAUGGCUGCUUGAGCAGACUAAGAUAAUACCUGCUAUCAGUUCCGAGUAGGAGGUGCCUUCCCACUCUCAAAAUAUACACUUCAUGUACAUUUAGUGAAAAUUCCUCUAUCUCAAUGUCCAUUGGCACCUGCAGGUCCCCUUAGGAAUGAUUUGAACCAUGCCCCUCAUCCCCCACCCACCCCAGACUCUGCAUCCACACAGACACUUCCAAAUGACAGCAGGGGCUGCGUGCAGAAGCAGGAGGCUGGCUUCUUCCUCUUGUUGUUGAUAUACUUCAGGUAAGAGUUCUUGUCAAUACUUUGGCUAAAAGCUUUGUCAUUUAUCCAAAGAUUUGUGUCAACUAUUCCUUCACACAUUUCUUCCUUUAUUUAUGCAUUGAUUCAACAAAUUCUGAGGGUUCUCUGUGUCCUGAACACACGCUUGAGGUACAGGAUCUAUCUUAAUUGUACUCCCCAUAUACCAUUUGAGAAGACUGAAGUUCAGAGAGGUCAUGAAACUCACCUCAUGCCCAAUAGUCAAUCCUGGAGGAGUCAGGGCUUGAACUCAAGUGAUUCUGAUGCCAAGGUCUAUAUCCCUACCAGAAUAACGACUUCCACAAUAUCUCAACCUGGCAAGCAUAAGUACCUUAUGAUUACCCACCAGACAUUAUUUGCUAUUUUAAAGAACAUUUUAUGAUAGAAUAUUUUAAACAUACAUAUAUUAGAGGAAACAAUUUAGUAAAUUUUCAUGCACUCGUAACCCAUCUUCACCAAUUUCCAAUAUUUUUCUUUCUUCUUUCAUCAAUCUCUAUCAACCUCCACAUUUUUUAAGCUUCAAAACUUUAAAGCAAAUCUCAAUGUGUCACUUUUUGCACAAAUGUUUUAUUAUAUUCCAGACGAUGUUUUUAUAUUUAACCGCAAUUCCAUUAUCACUCUCAAGAAAAUUGGCAACAAUUUCUUAAUAAUAUCAAAUGCCCAGUCUGUGUUCAAUUUUCACUGAUUGUAUCAAAAUAAAUGUCUUUUCCCCAUUGGUUUGUUUAUAUCAAAAUCCCAACGUGGGCCACAUUGCAUUUGUUGAUUUCUUACCUUUCCUAUCAUCUACAACAGCUUCCAUUCCUUAGCUCCACCUUUUUUUUGUUUUGUUUUGUUUGUUUGCUGGGUCUUUGGAAGAAAUGAAGAAACUGAGUCAUGUGUCAUGUGGAAUCUCCCACAUUCUGGAUUUGGCUGUAUCCCCGUGGCUCCCUGUCUAUGACGUGGUUGAAGUGUGAGCCUGAUAUCUAGGCACAUACAGAGGCUCCUCCCCAUGGAGAGCUCUGCUACUCUGCUAGGCAUUCCUGUUCCUUUUCUCUUUCUUUCUUUCUUUUUUUUUUUUUUUGAGACGGAGUUUCGCUGCUGUCACCCAGGCUGGAGUACAAUGGCACGAUCUUGGCUCACUGCAACCUCUGCCUCGCAGGUUCAAGCAAUUCUCCUGCCUCAGCCUCCCGAGUAGCUGGGAUUACAGACAUGUGCCACCAUGCCCCAUGCCAGCUACUUUGGUAUUUUUAGUAGAGACGGUGUUUCUCCCUGUUGGUCAGGCUGUUCUCAAGCUCCUGACCUUGUGAUACGCCUGCCUCGGCCUCCCAAAGUGCUGGGAUUACAGGCGUAAGCCACUGCACCCGGCCAGCAUUCCAGUUUCUAAAAACCAUGACACACAAUGGAUUCCAUCUCUGUUCUAGCCUGGGCAUGCUGUCUUUACCUUGUGAAGAUAAACCCUGUUUCUUAUUGUACUUUCACUGGGGCAGUAGAUACGUAAAUAUCACACAUUUUCAGUCUUUUAAGCCUAAACAAAUAAGUGCAAAUAAAAUCACAGUGUUUUUAUUUUAAAUUCCAGCUUCCAUGGUUGGGCUGGAGGAUGGAGUAGGUGACAGAGCAAUGCAGGAUCUCCCUGGAAUCAGAUGUGAGCCUCUUUUUCUUACGCAGCUUUCCCCUUGGAGAUCUUUUCAUUUCUUAUGCAUUCUGCUCCCACCUCCAUGGUUGGUUUCUAUUUCAGACCUGAAUCCACAUGAGAUCACAUCUUUCUUCUUGACUGUUCUAUCACAACUUACACCUAAUGUGACUACAAUCAAGCUCAAGACAAUUCUCCCCAAACCAGGUCUCACCCUAAAACUCCCCUUGCUUAUCAGUGGCACCAUGUUCAAAAGGCUUACAACCUUGAACUACUGUUUUUUUUCUUUUGUUUCCACAUCCACUCCCUUACCAUUGUUCAAGCCAGCAUUUCUUUGUACAUUCAGGAAAUGCGUGUGCCAUGAAUGAAGCAAAGACCGAUCCAAGAACAGAAGAGGCAUGUAGUCUUGUCUUCCUAUGCCUUCUGAGGAUGCCUUGACCAAGGGAAGCUCAUGGAGAUGAGCAAGAACCAGAAAGUCCUGAGGCUGUUGAUGAACAAUCAAAUCCAAAUGCGUCCCUCCCUUUCAGAAUUGCCGGCUACCUGCUUACUUCAAGACUUAACAUCAAAUGAUCAAAAAUUAUUUUCAGAAACCAAAUUGUUUCCAAGACAUAGGCUUUCUAGCAUUGAAAAGGAUCAGAAGAAUAUACUAAGUCCUAAAAGCAGUUUCAAAAACAGCUCUACAGGAUUUUGGCUGAUUCCUUAGAAUAAGCGGAUGGCUUGCCAAUAGACGAUUGUAAAUAGCUCUACUCUGACCUAGUGGUUUGUGAUUCAAGAUUUGGGGCAUUUAUUACUGAACAAAAAUCAUUGUUUCUCCAAUCCAGAAUAGAAUGUGGUUGAUAUGAAUGUUAGACUGUUCUACAUAGAGAAAUUGUUACCUGGGAAACCACUCGUAUUCAAAGACAACCUGACUUUUGUGCAUGUUUUUUGAAUGUCGAUAUUACACCUUUGAGUGGUUUGACCUCAACUAUUUGUUUUUGUUUUUAAGACAAAGUUGGAUACCUUUAGGUAAAAGUAUACAGUUGUGUAACUAUCACCACAAUCAAGAUAGGGAACAGUUUCAUUGACCAAAGAGUUACCUGUGUGACUUUGCAAUUGAUCCUCUCCUCCAAUCCCUAGCUCCAGGCCAAUGCUGGUCUGCUCUCUGACAUGAUGGUUUUGCUUUUUAUAGAAUUUCAUAAGAAUGAAAUAAUAUGGCAUGUGCCUUUUUUGUGUUUGAAUUCCUUAACUUAGCAUAAUGUCUUUGACAUCCAUCCAUGUUGUGACAUGUGUUACUAUUUUGUUCCUUUCUAUUACUGGGUAGUAUUCCAUUGUGUGGAUACUCCAUGGUAUUUAUGCAUUCACCAAAGCCAAUGAGCAUCUGGGUUGCUUCCAGUAUUUGGCUAUUAAGAAUAAUGCUGCUAUAAACAUGUGUGUACAUGUUUGCAAAGACAUGCUUCUAUUUCUCUUUGAGAAAUAGGAGGAGUGAGUUUGUUGGGUCAUACAGUAAGUAUAUGCUAAACCUUCUAAGAUUCUGACUAGUUUUUAGAGUAGAUGCACCAUUUUUCAUUUCCACCAGCAAUAAAUGAAAGUUCCAUUCACUCUGCGUCUUCACCAACACUUAGUAUUGUCAGCCUUUUUACAUUUAGCCAUUUUAGUGGGCACAACAAUGUUGCAUUUUGGUUUCAUUUGCAUUUUCUGAAAGCUAGUGAUGUUAAGCAUCUUUCCUCUAUGUGCUUGCCAUUCAUAUAUCUUCUUUGGUGAAGUGUCUACAAAUCUUUGAGCACUUUUGACCAUUGAGGUCUCUUUUCUCCUUAUUACUAAGACAUGUGCGUGUGUGUCUGUGUGUGUGUUCAUAUUUCCUUUUAUAUUCUGAAUACAAGCCCUUUGUUGAA